GCGAGGGUAUCUAAGCCAGGCCAAAAGAGCCGGACUUAAGAUCCGGUGGAGCAGUCCUACGUGGGUUCGAAUCCCAUCCCUCGCA
rnacentral:tRNA from 1 species